rnacentral:rRNA from 1 species
UAGUCCACGCCGUAAACGAUGUCAACUAGCCGUUGGGAGCAAUUAAGCUCUUAGUGGCGCAGCUAACGCGAUAAGUUGACCGCCUGGGGAGUACGCCGGCAACGGUAAAACUCAAAUGAAUUGACGGGGGCCCGCACAAGCGGUGGAACAUGUGGUUUAAUUCGAUGAUACGCGAGGAACCUUACCUGGGCUCGAACACUACUGGAAGGUGCUUGGAAACGAGGCUGUCCUUCGGGACUAGUAGUGAGGUGCUGCAUGGUUGUCGUCAGCUCGUGCCGUGAGGUGUUGGGUUAAGUCCCGCAACGAGCGCAACCCCUAUUUCUAGUUGCCAGCACAUAAUGGUGGGGACUCUAGAGAGACUGCCGGCGUAAGCCGAGAGGAAGGUGGGGACGACGUCAAAUCAUCAUGGGCCUUUAUGCCCAGGGGCUACACACGUGCUACAAUGGUGCAUACAGAGGGGUCGCAAAGUCGUGAGGGCUAAGCUAAUCUCAGAAAGUGCAUC